rnacentral:snRNA from 1 species
AAUAUUGCGUGGGAAUUCUCCCUC